rnacentral:tRNA from 1 species
AAACAGUAGGCUCAGUAGAAAGAGCAUGCAACUCUUGAUCGCAGGGUUGUGAGUUCAAACCCCACAUUGGGUG